GUGGGGAAUAUUGGACAAUGGGCGAAAGCCUGAUCCAGCCAUGCCGCGUGUGUGAAGAAGGUCUUCGGAUUGUAAAGCACUUUAAGUUGGGAGGAAGGGCAGUAAGUUAAUACCUUGCUGUUUUGACGUUACCGACAGAAUAAGCACCGGCUAACUUCGUGCCAGCAGCCGCGGUAAUACGAAGGGUGCAAGCGUUAAUCGGAAUUACUGGGCGUAAAGCGCGCGUAGGUGGUUUUGUAAGUUGGAGGUGAAAUCCCCGGGCUCAACCUGGGAACUGCCUUCAAAACUGCAUGACUAGAGUACGGUAGAGGGUAGUGGAAUUUCCUGUGUAGCGGUGAAAUGCGUAGAUAUAGGAAGGAACACCAGUGGCGAAGGCGACUACCUGGACUGAUACUGACACUGAGGUGCGAAAGCGUGGGGAGCAAACAGGAUUAGAUACCCCGGUAGUCC
rnacentral:rRNA from 1 species